ACCAGCACCAAAACAUGCCGGUACUUGCAUAUGGUGGGCUUUAUGGGGUAGUACAGUGAGUGUGAAGUGAUCUCAUAUUGUGACCUUCAUAUGAGCACACAUUGAGUGUGCAGCGUGCUUACACAUUAAGAUCAUGACCCACACAGUGAGUAUCUUGUGAGCUCAUGGUGACUUCCCUUACGAAAAUUAACCAUGGUUUUACUACAGUCAACUUAAAACCAAAAAAGCAUGGUUACUGUAGUAAAACCAUGGUAACCACAAAAUAACCAUGGUUUUGACAACCAUGUUUUUCUAAAACCACAGAACCAUGGUUAGUGUAGCCGUUUAGUGUAGUAAAACCAUGGUCAAAGACCCGAGGUGAGGUAUACAUUAAAGGGUUAACCUGAAGUAGUAAAACCAAAAGAAAGUCAGCAUCUCUUUAGUGUCCUCACUAAUAUAAGAAAUUACUAGUUUGUCUUCCACCCAGUGCAAGCUUUUUACAUGAACCCCCAAACCCCACCCAGAAAAACACAGCACAACUUAUUAAAGUUUAUUUAAUUUAUUUUAAUGUUUGAUUGUUCUGUGAAAUACAGUGGUAAUUAAGUGCUAAAAAUCUACAAGAAUUGAAUUUGUUUCACGUUUUUUUUUUUUUUUUUGCGCCACUGGGUCAAUACAACGUAGUACGCAUGUGUCUGCAGGAAGAGCCGCUUGUGCGAGUGCUCCAUACUCCAAUCCAGUAGGUGGCGGUAAAUGCACCUUAAGUUGGUUUGCCACCCACCAUUUAAACAACAAAAGAAGAAGAAGAAGAAGAAGAAGCCGCUUGUGCGCAUGUGUCUGCAUCCAAAGGUUACCACGACAAGUUUGCGACUGAGUAAAUACAGAUACUACAGUACGUGAUCUGGAGCUUGACUUCACAUGUUUUGUGGUGAUUAAAGGCGGAGUCUGUGAUGUUUGAAAGCCAAUGUUGAUAUUUGAAAUCACCUAAACAAACACGCCCCUACCCCAAUAGAAUCUGGACCUUCUGUUGAUAGACCCGCCACACACAUAUGCAACCCGGCAAGGAUGUCGGUUAGUAGACACGCUCCUUACUGCUGAUUGGCUAUAAGUGUGUUUUGGUAGUCGGCCCGUCUCCUUUUCCAAAGCGUUUUUCAAACAUCGUGGACUCCGCCUUUAACAAAUUGUGCGGUGCUUUUGGCAUUGUCUAUCCAUGUAUAAUUGUGAUGUUCCAGGAGUGCUAAUGGAAGCUACACGGUAUGUAGAUGUUUGUUCCAGUAUGUUUAUGUGUGUGUACCUGGUAAUUAUCACGUUGUGGGGACCGAAUGUCCCCACAAAGAUAGGAAUACCAGUAAAUUUUGACCUCGUGGGGACAUUUGUGAGGUCCCCAUGAGGAACCAAGCUUAUAAAUCAAACGGAAUGAUGUUUCUUGAAAAUCUAAGGUCGCAGAAAGUUUUCUGUGAUGGUUGGGGUAAGGGUUUGGGGAAGGGAAUAGAAUAUACAGUUUGUACAGUAUAAAAUGCAUUACGUUUAUGGAAUGUCCCCACAAAACAUGGAAACCAGAAUGUGUGUGUGUGUGUGUGUGCGUGCCAUGGAACAAAUAUUUAUUUUAUACCUUUUUGUGUGUUCUGUUUUUGACUUUUUUCCCCUGAUAUCAAGACACCAAAAUAAUGUUUUAAUACGCAUUUUCAUGUGUUUGUAAAGAAAAUAAAUGGUGUACUUCACUGUUA